rnacentral:lncRNA from 1 species
UCUGUUAGUAAAAGCCCAAAACCCAUUAUGAGCCCAGAUUUAAUUUUUAGGCCCAAUUUCAUUUUAUUAUGAUUUAUUAAAAAAAAAAGAAAGGAAAAAGCCUGAAGUUGCGACUGCCAUGGCAACCAGCUUUCCAUACUUCCCAAAAGCCCUUCCUUUUAGAUUGAUCCUUAUCUCCAAUUUUUUCCCUCUAUAUUUACCCACUGAUCUUUUACAUGAAUUGGUAAAAAGUGACCCAAUAUCCUAGAAAAAGCAUGCUCCAUAUCCGAAAGUGCAGCAAUAACUGCUGCAACAACAUUCCAAAGACAACAGUCCUUAGAAAUCUCAGAGGAUCUUCUAUUUGCAGGUAGUCUUAUCAGGGGAGACUUGGACAAAAAAGAAAAUUUUCAGGGGGAGCCUCAGGAACCAAAAAUCCUACCCUCCAUUGCAACCAGCACUUAAACUUCAACCACAGACACCACCAACAUCACCAUAAUCGGCUUUGCUGAAACCCAAAAAGAAAACCAGUUUUUCCUUAUUACCAAAGAACACUCGCUCCUGCACUUACCCGGCACCAUCACCAAUUCCAACCACCUACCAUUCGGCCGGCUCACAGACUACGGCCAAUUUCCAUUUGAAUAGAGCAAAAUUGCCAUCAACAGCUUACCAGUAAUAGACCUUCACCCAGAAAUCACAUAUAGCCCACACCCCAACCGAACACCCGAACCACAGACCAUUAAGCACUCUUCAACACCAUUCGGCCACCCCCUACAUUAAAAAAACACGCCCACAACAGAACAAGUCUCCACUGAGACAAAAAAACAAAAACAACAACAGUUCUCAUUAAGGAACCUCAAAAGUGAAGCACAAAACACAAAAAGAAACUACCAUAAUGAAAUUAUUCAAAAGGCCAAAAAAAUUAAAGAGAGAAGAAACAAGAAAAAGGAGCUGUUUGCGGCGCAUGGUUUAUGGCAGCACAGUGAAUAGCUGUAAAAGGUGUGGCAAGGUGGUAAAUGGCAGCAAGAACUGCGAUGACGCAAGGAGGUCAGUGAGGACGGCUAUAUUUUGGGCGAUCCAAAAUGGUAGCAAGGUAGAGGAGAACAAGGGGAACAACAUAGUAAAAGCCUAGCCAAAUAGGAUAGUAAGAUACGGUGAAAAAGGGUUUAGAUGCCGCGAACUUUGGUUUCAAGUCUAGGAGAACCCAUUUAGAUUUACGCAAAACGGAGCCGGAAUUCGUGAAGAGGAAAUUGAGGAGAAGCUUGGGUGAAAUUUUGGUGUUGAAAAGGGGCUUGCCGCCGAUGACGAAGCUGCAAUGAUGGGGCUUCAUCGAAAAUUAGGUUUGAAGGGGGGCUGGCUUUGUUUUUGAAAGAGUUAGAAAGUUUUUCUUUUUUUUUUUGUUUUGU